UACGUAGGGUGCGAGCGUUGCCCGGAUUUAUUGGGCGUAAAGGGCGCGUAGGCGGCCACGCACGUCCGUUGUGAAAUCGCCCGGCUCAACUGGGCGGGGUCGGCGGAUACGGCGUGGCUGGAGCAAGCUAGGGGGCAAUGGAAUUCCCGGUGUAGUGGUGGAAUGCGUAGAUAUCGGGAGGAACACCCGUGGCGAAAGCGGCUCUCUGGAACGGUACUGACGCUGAGACGCGAAAGCGUGGGGAGCGAACAGG
rnacentral:rRNA from 1 species